GAAAAUCGAUCCAAUUUUCUCUAAUCAGUGCAAGAUCAGUAUACUCCAGAUCUCCGACAUCUUGAAUACUGUGUCGGUUGAAUUUUUUUUUUUUUUAUGAAACGGAAGGAUGAAAGAAAAAUAAAUAAAUCCAUGAAAAUGCUUAAUAUUUAAAUGCCUGUUUAAAAGUAUAUCUUUUGGUAAAGACUUGCUUAAAAUUGAAUGCCUACAGCCUUCAGACUUAUGAUUUUUUUGUUACACGCACAAAAGAAAAUAAAACAU